AAAAAAUCAUUCAACUGCACAUUUACACAAAAUACUAAACCAGUAUUUAAAACAGCACCAAAGCAGAUGGUAAAGACACACACUUUGGUGUCAACCCCUUUUAAACACCACAGAAGAAGAAGAGGAAAAUGGUGGACUCUGCUGCUGAGUUUCUCUUGGAAAAGAAAAAAUGAUAGUGUUUAAGGCAGUAACAGGCGAUGCAGUUCUUUAAACUCGUGACCUCCAGCUCUCUGUGGAGAUGGGUUGAUGGUUCUGUGUGGCGUCUGCAGAAAUGCCAGCUUUGUGACGGUCCAGUGUGGAGAAAAGACAACUGAGAUGCUAAUCAGACAGACACACAGCAAUCCCCAGGGACCCCAUCCACUCCACUACCUGUUGUCUUGGUAACCACACACUCUGUGUGAACCAUGUGAUGAGGAAGGUGAGGAGCUGGCAUCUGCCGCAUCGACUCCCAAACACACGGCGUUCUGUGGGAGCCACGGCGCUCUGAGGAGAACUGCGGCGUCCGCAGAACCGCGCUUCCAUUGUUGCUCAUGUCUGAGCCUGGCUUUAUUGAUUGUGACAUCACUUUGCCGGUCUUUGCUCACUAAAUUAAAAUGGCUGCCGUCUCA